rnacentral:RNase_P_RNA from 1 species
GCGGAUGGCUGGAUGGCCGCGUCUGGCAACAGGCGAGGAAAGUCCGGACUCCACAAAACGACGGUGCCGGGUAACGCCCGGCCGGGGAAACCCGAGGGAAAGCGCCACAGAAAACAGACCGCCUGUGCAUGCACAGGUAAGGGUGAAACGGUGGGGUAAGAGCCCACCGCGGCCUUGGCAACAAGGACGGCACGGCAAGCCCCACCGGGAGCAAUGCCAAAUAGGAACCUCGCGGGCGUAUGCCCAGAGCUGUUUUGGCUCGGAAGGUUCGGGUUGGCAGCUAGAGCCUGUUGGUAACAGCAGGCGCAGAGGAAUGGUCAUCCAUCGGCGGGGCAACUUGCCGUGGACAAAAUCCGGCUUAUAGGCCRUCCGCGCGU